rnacentral:tRNA from 1 species
GAAAAGAUGGCCGAGAUUUAGGCAAUAAAUUGUAAAUUUAUUUACGAAAAAUUUUCUCUUUUCA